rnacentral:rRNA from 2 species
AAAUUGAAGAGUUUGAUCAUGGCUCAGAUUGAACGCUGGCGGCAGGCCUAACACAUGCAAGUCGAGCGGAAACGAGUUAUCUGAACCUU